rnacentral:rRNA from 1 species
UACGGAGGGUGCAAGCGUUAUCCGGAUUCACUGGGGUUAAAGGGUGCGUAGGCGGGCAGGUAAGUCCGUGGUGAAAUCUCUGAGCUUAACUCAGAAACUGCCAUGGAUACUAUUUGUCUUGAAUGUUGUGGAGGUAAGCGGAAUAUGUCAUGUAGCGGUGAAAUGCUUAAAUAUGACAUAGAACACCAAUUGCGAAGGCAGCUUACUACACAAAUAUUGACGCUGAGGCACGAAAGCGUGGGGAUCAAACAGG